rnacentral:rRNA from 1 species
AGCGAACGCUGGCGGCAGGCCUAACACAUGCAAGUCGAGCGCCGUAGCAAUACGGAGCGGCAGACGGGAGAGUAACACGUGGGAACGUGCCCUUUGGUUCGGAACAACCCAGGGAAACUUGGGCUAAUACCGGAUAAGCCCUUACGGGGAAAGAUUUAUCGCCGAAGGAUCGGCCCGCGUCUGAUUAGCUAGUUGGUGGGGUAAUGGCCCACCAAGGCGACGAUCAGUAGCUGGUCUGAGAGGAUGAUCAGCCUCACUGGGACUGAGACACGGCCAAGACUCGUAGGGGAGGCAGCAGUGGGGAAUAUUGGACAAUGGGCGCAAGCCUGAUCCAGCCAUGCCGCGUGGGUGAUGAAGGCCCUAGGGUUGUAAAGCCCUUUCGGCGGGGAAGAUAAUGACGGUACCCGCAGAAGAAGCCCCGGCUAACUUCGUGCCAGCCGCCGCCGUAA